UGUCGACCCACUAUACCCCGGUGGCAGCUUUGACCCAUUAGGUCUUGCUGAUGAUCCAGAGGCAUUUGCUGAGCUCAAGGUAAAGGAGAUUAAGAACGGUAGACUUGCUAUGUUCUCUAUGUUCGGAUUCUUUGUUCAAGCCAUUGUUACUGGAAAGGGUCCAUUGGAAAACCUUGCAGAUCACCUUGCAGACCCAGUUAACAACAACGCCUGGUCCUACGCCACAAACUUUGUCCCCGGAAAAUAAAAAUCUUAAAACAUUCUCAAGUUUCUGACCAUUUGAUGACCAUGUAAAGUUGUAAUUUGUGAGUUUACUUGACAAUAGAAUGAUUUUUUCUUAUAUCCUAUUCCAGUUAUGGUGUAGUCCUGAAUUCCAUUUUCCAAUGGCAUGAAUGAAAUGCUGCAAGUUUCAUAUCAAAGGGGAAAAACAGGUGACUGUUAAAAAAAAAACCAAUAUACAUUUGGGAUGUGGUAAAAGCUUAAAAGUUGAAUAUAGAGACCACUAGAGGAACUUAUGGAAUGCAAUCAGUUCUCAAGAAGCAAUACUCUUAACUUAGUGCCAACAGUAACAUGAUGAUUCCUUAUUUUUCAGUUUAGAAGUGAGAUGAAUUAAGAGGACAUAUGUUAUUUCACAACUACGUACGCCAUUGACAUAUCAAUGAUAAGGGAAAACCAAUGUAUAUGUUUUGUCUUCAGAACGCAGCAAGUAUUCUCUAUGUUUCAAUUUAAUCGUCUUACUUUCUUUUUUGACAAUACCUUGUUUAAAAUUUUCACUCAACAUGUUUAAGACCACAAGAUUAAAUAACGUUUUGGUGCAUUAUACUUAUCUUUAGUUUAAGACCAUUAGAUUAAAAAAUGUUCUUUACUUUCUUUAAUUCCGUGACAAGUCAAAACUAGACAAACAAAUUAAAAACGGAGCGAGUAAGAUAUACAAGUUUCCAGGCCAUGAAUGUACUUAUAUGUCCUUAAUUUGAUUAGCAUAUUUAAUUUGAACAAAUUCCUAACUUUCUUGUAUAGUCAUCUUUCCUUACAUGCAUGUCUGUGACAGCUUAUAUAACAGAGGCAGGUAUCCUUCCAAACAUGGCACAUAGUAAUGACCAGAGACAAAAGGACACAUAGUAAGCAGAAGAUAUACAUGACACUAUGGAAAGGAAAUUAAGUUCCAGGCAUUGACAUUGUCAAAAAUACUUGCACAAUCAUAUCACUUCAGAAGCGCGCAGAGGUAGCCUUCAUCAUACCGGUUAGACUAUACAAAAUAGCUUUGGCUUAAACCAUGUAUAUUUGUUAAGAAAUUCAUUAAAUAUGUAUACAACAUUUACUAAUACUUGAGGUCGUUGUCCUAGAUUCUAGAACUCAUAAAGUUCAAAUCUUGAUCAGCCUUUCCUUAUUAAGUAAUUACAAGCUAAUCUUUUGAUAAACAACACUAACAACAAAUCGAAUGUAAUCCCAUAAGUAAGGUCUGGGGAGAGUAAUGUGUUAGGCAGACCUUACCCUACCGUAUUUCUACAUUGAGUGAUAUAUAGUGCUGUUAGAUAAAAUCUAGAGAAAUUUCCAAUGGAUAAUGAUAAGAGAUAUCAUACUAUAAGCUCAACAAAUCACAGAAUAGAGUUCAAGCCUUGUAGCCAGUGGACAACAUUAGUUGGGUCCCCCUGUAAACAUCAUGGAAAAUUGAUGGACUAAAGAUUGCCAAGUUGCAUUACUUGCUACACAUGGGAUCUUGAUACCCAAUGAGAUUAUAAAUAUAGAUAUUACUAGAUAAGGACUCUUUCCCUCUUACUCCCUAUAUAUGGUGAAUUAAUUCAACACAUCACAGCAAACUUCAACAAUUUUCAUAUCAUCAAACACUUGCUUUUCUCUUAAUAUAAACACAAUGGCAGCUGCUACAAUGGCUCUUUCUUCCCCUUCUUUUGCUGGACAGGCAGUCAAACUUUCACCAUCUGCCUCAGAAAUCUCUGGAAAUGGAAGGAUCACUAUGAGAAAGGCUGUCUCCAAGUCUGCUCCAUCUAGCAGCCCAUGGUAUGGCCCUGACCGUGUUAAGUACUUGGGCCCAUUCUCUGGUGAGUCCCCAAGCUACUUGACUGGUGAAUUCCCUGGUGACUACGGGUGGGAUACUGCUGGACUUUCAGCAGACCCUGAAACCUUUGCCAAGAACCGUGAACUCGAGGUGAUCCACUGCAGAUGGGCUAUGCUUGGUGCUCUUGGAUGUGUCUUCCCUGAGCUCUUGGCCCGCAACGGUGUCAAGUUUGGUGAGGCUGUGUGGUUCAAGGCUGGAUCCCAGAUCUUCAGCGAGGGUGGACUUGACUACUUGGGCAACCCAAGCUUGGUCCAUGCUCAAAGCAUCUUGGCCAUUUGGGCUUGCCAAGUUGUGUUGAUGGGAGCCGUUGAGGGAUACCGUAUUGCAGGUGGACCUCUUGGUGAGGUUGUGGACCCACUAUACCCCGGUGGAAGCUUUGACCCAUUGGGUCUUGCUGAUGACCCAGAGGCAUUUGCUGAACUCAAGGUAAAGGAGAUCAAGAACGGCAGACUUGCUAUGUUCUCCAUGUUUGGAUUCUUUGUCCCCGGUGGAAGCUUUGACCCAUUGGGUCUUGCUGAUGACCCAGAGGCAUUUGCUGAACUCAAGGUAAAGGAGAUCAAGAACGGCAGACUUGCUAUGUUCUCUAUGUUUGGAUUCUUUGUUCAAGCCAUUGUUACCGGAAAGGGUCCAUUGGAGAACCUUGCUGAUCACCUUGCAGACCCAGUAAACAACAACGCCUGGGCCUUCGCCACAAACUUUGUUCCCGGAAAGUGAUCAUAAAAUGAUCUCAAAUUUUCAUGUAAAGUUGUUGUGAAUGAGUUGACAAUAGAAUGGAUUUUUCUUAUAUUCCAAUGAUUUUUAGUCCUGAAUUUUCAUUUUCUAAACCCGCGAUACGAAUCAAACACUAAAACUUUCAUUCCAAAAAGAAAAGAAAUAGAAUAAUGCCCUAAUGAACACUUUCGACGAUAUGGUAAUUAAAAAACCACAGUAAAGGUGUUUAUAGCUUAAAACUUCAAUUUGUAGAACAG
rnacentral:lncRNA from 1 species